rnacentral:rRNA from 1 species
UACGGAGGGGGCUAGCGUUGUUCGGAUUUACUGGGCGUAAGAGCGCGCAGGCGGUCGUUCAAGUCGAGUGUGAAAGCCCCCGGCUCAACUGGGGAGGGUCAUUCGAUACUGAUCGACUCGAAGGCAGGAGAGGGAAGUGGAAUUCCCGGUGUAGUGGUGAAAUGCGUAGAUAUCGGGAGGAACACCAGUGGCGAAGGCGACUUCCUGGCCUGUUCUUGACGCUGAGGCGCGAAAGCUAGGGGAGCAAACGGG